UACGUAGGGGGCGAGCGUUGUCCGGAUUUAUUGGGCGUAAAGAGCUCGUAGGCGGUUCGAUAAGUCGGACGUGAAAUCUCCACGCUCAACGUGGAGGGGCCGUUCGAUACUGUCGUGACUCGAGUCCGGUAGGGGAGUGUGGAAUUCCCGGUGUAGCGGUGAAAUGCGUAGAGAUCGGGAGGAACAUCAGUGGCGAAGGCGGAUCUCUGGGCCGUAACUGACGCUGAGGAGCGAAAGCAUGGGGAGCGAACAGG
rnacentral:rRNA from 1 species